rnacentral:rRNA from 1 species
AAUGGAUGCUGACGAGUGGCGCACGGGUGCGUAACACGUAUGCAAUCUACCCUUAACUGGGGGAUAGCCCCGAGAAAUCGGGAUUAAUACCCCAUAACAUUAUGAAGUGGCAUCAUUUUAUAAUUAAAGCUCCGGCGGUUUUGGAUGAGUAUGCGCGACAUUAGCUAGUUGGUGAGGUAACGGCUCACCAAGGCGACGAUGUCUAGGGGUUCUGAGAGGAUUCACCCCCACACUGGUACUGAGACACGGACCAGACUCCUACGGGAGGCAGCAGUAAGGAAUAUUGGUCAAUGGACGCAAGUCUGAACCAGCCAUGCCGCGUGAAGGAUGACGGCCCUACGGGUUGUAAACUUCUUUUGUACGGGAAAAAACCCCUGGUCGUGUACCGGGGCUGAUGGUACCGUAAGAAUAAGCAUCGGCUAACUCCGUGCCAGCAGCCGCGGUAAUACGGAGGAUGCAAGCGUUAUCCGGAUUCAUUGGGUUUAAAGGGUGCGUAGGCGGAAUGAUAAGUCAGUGGUGAAAUCCUACAGCUUAACUGUAGAACUGCCAUUGAUACUAUCGUUCUUGAGUACAUUUGAAGUGGGCGGAAUGUGUCAUGUAGCGGUGAAAUGCUUAGAUAUGACACAGAACACCGAUCGCGAAGGCAGCUCACUAAGUUGUAACUGACGCUCAGGCACGAAAGCGUGGGGAUCAAACAGGAUUAGAUACCCUGGUAGUCCACGCCGUAAACGAUGAUUACUCGAUGUUGGCGAUACACUGUCAGCGUCUAAGCGAAAGCAUUAAGUAAUCCACCUGGGGAGUACGGCCGCAAGGUUGAAACUCAAAGGAAUUGACGGGGGCCCGCACAAGCGGAGGAGCAUGUGGUUUAAUUCGAUGAUACGCGAGGAACCUUACCUGGGCUAGAACGCAAGAUGG